AACACACCACUGUCAUGCAAAGCUAAAGGUACCUACUGAUUAAAGGUGCAUAAGAAAUGUUGGUGUAACAAGAAACAUUUUAACUCUUCCUUUUUUUUCCUUCUUCAUCAUAGCUACAGAAGACCUCAGAUGGACCACAGAGUGCAAAGAGACUUAAACUGUCCCAGCAAACCAUUUCAGUGGCCAUUCUAAGUGCUUCAAAGUACAAACUUGACUCGAAAGAGCAACAGACAAAGGAGGAGGCUAUAGCAAAAUGGAUUGGAUGCACAGGACUCCCAGUUACUACAGUUGAAGAUGAGGACUUUGUUCUUAUGAUGGAAACAAUGGAUAAGAAACUGACUGUUCCAAAAAAAACUAAAAUAAGUAAUCUGAUCGAAAAAUAUUAUGAAGCUGAAUCACAAAAAUUCAAAAGGAGAUUGGCUGCUGUGCGGAAGGUAUCAAUUGGAAUUGAUCUGUGGACAAAAAAAGGACUGACUGCUUCCUUCCUGGCUGUAAGUGCAUGCUUUUUUUGCACUGAACUACAGAAACCACAACACAUAUUGCUGGCCCUUGAACAAGUGGCCCAUCCACACACCGCACAAAUAAUCAAAGCAUGUGUGGACAAAUGUGUGCAAGAGUGGGGCAUAUCACAUGAGAAGAUCAUCACAGUGAUUACAGACAAUGGGAGUAAUAUGGUGGCAGCCUUUAAACACACCACACCAGAGGCAGAAGAAGCCACCUCUGAGGAUUCAGAAGAAGAAAACCCCACCAUGACUGAAAGUGAGUCUGAGACUGAAGAAGAUGAUCAGAGAUGCGAUGACCUGGAUAUACAACGGACGCCAUGUGUGGUACACACAUUACAACUGGUAGUCCACAUGAUCCAGAAGGAGACUGGUGUGAAAAAGGUCCUUGAUAAAGCAAGGUCAGUCGUGA
ensembl:lncRNA